rnacentral:rRNA from 1 species
GGAAGUAAAAGUCGUAACAAGGUUUCCGUAGGUGAACCUGCGGAAGGAUCAUUACUGAUUUAGCGAACCGGGCGUUAGCGAGGUUUUGCGAUCAACUUGUAUUUAAAACCCACUCUUCAAUGUAUAAAAUUUGUAUUAAUGAUAAAUUAAAAGAUCACUUUCAACAACGGAUCUCUUGGCUCUCGCAUCGAUGAAGAACGCAGCGAAUUGCGAUAAGUAAUGUGAAUUGCAGUAUUCCGUGAAUCAUCGAACCUUUGAACGCAUAUUGCACUUUCUGGUAUUCCGGAAAGUAUGCCUGCUUGAGGGUCAGUUAAAUAAAAAUCGGUGUUGUUGCCGCUUUCCGUGGUGACGCGUCGGAAUUGAGUCGUCUUCGGUUAAGUGACUUAAAAUUUUAUAUGAUUUUCGAACGUAUUUAAAUUUAUUUGAACGUUUGAUAUCGAAUGCUUAUUAGGUUCGGUCAUCCUCAUGACUCGCGCCUAUAAUUUUUCAUUAAAUGACCUCAAAUCAGGUAAGAAUACCCGCUGAACUUAAGCAUAUCAAUAAGCGGAGGA